CAAUAGCGUAUAUUUAAGUUGUUGCAGUUAAAAAGCUCGUAGUUGGAUUUCGGGUGGGACGCAGCGGUCUCGCAUUGCGUUUGUACUGCUGCAGCCCUCCUUCUUGCCGGGGGCGGCCUCUCGGACUUCACUGUCUGGGGGUCAGAAUCGGCGAUGUUACUUUGAGUAAAUUAGAGUGUUCAAAGCAAGCUUACGCUCUGAAUAUAAUAGCAUGGGAUAACACGACAGGACUCUGGCCUAUCGUGUUGGUCUAUAGGACCAGAGUAAUGAUUAAGAGGGACAGUCGGGGACAUUCGUAUUCCGUUGUCAGAGGUGAAAUUCUUGGAUUUACGGAAGACGAACAUCUGCGAAAGCAUUUGCCAAGGAUGUUUUCAUUGA
rnacentral:rRNA from 1 species